GCCUCAGUAGCGGCGAGUGAAGCGGCAAGAGCUCAGAUUUGAAAUCUCACCUAGUGUGCGAGUUGUAAAUUGCAGGUUGGAGUCUCGGGUUAGACGUGUGUGCAAGUCCCUUGGAACAGGGUGCCACUGAGGGUGAGAGCCCCGUAUCGUGCAUGUCGACACCUGUGAGGCCCUUCUGACGAGUCGAGUUGUUUGGGAAUGCAGCUCUAAGUGGGUGGUAAAUUCCAUCUAAGGCUAAAUAUUGGCGAGAGACCGAUAGCGAACAAGUACUGUGAAGGAAAGAUGAAAAGCACUUUGAAAAGAGAGUGAAACAGCACGUGAAAUUGUUGAAAGGGAAGGGUAUUGGGCUCGACAUGGGAUUUACGCAUCGUUGCCUCUCGUGGGCGGCGCUCUGGGUUUUUCCUGGGCCAGCAUCGGUUUUCGUUGCAGGAUAAGGACAAUUGGAAUGUGGCUCCUCGGAGUGUUAUAGCCUUUUGUAGAUGCUGCGUAUGGGGACCGAGGGCUGCGGCGGACUCGUUUCGUCUCGGAUGCUGGCACAACGGCGCAAUACCGCCCGUCUUGAAACACGGACCAAAUAA
rnacentral:rRNA from 1 species